GACGAACGCUGGCGGCGUGCUUAACACAUGCAAGUCGAACGGUAAGGCCCUUCGGGGUACACGAGUGGCGAACGGGUGAGUAACACGUGGGUGAUCUGCCCUGCACUUCGGGAUAAGCCUGGGAAACUGGGUCUAAUACCGGAUAGGACCACUGCCUGCAUGGGUGGUGGUGGAAAGCUUUUGCGGUGUGGGAUGGGCCCGCGGCCUAUCAGCUUGUUGGUGGGGUGAUGGCCUACCAAGGCGACGACGGGCAGCCGGCCUGGGAGGGUGACCGGCCACACUGGGACGGAGAUACGGCCCAGACUCCUACGGGAGGCAGCAGUGGGGAAUAUUGCACAAUGGGCGCAAGCCUGAUGCAGCGACGCCGCGUGAGGGAUGACGGCCUUCGGGUUGUAAACCUCUUUCAGCACCGACGAAGCGCAAGUGACGGUAGGUGCAGAAGGAGGACCGGCCAACUACGUGCCAGCAGCCGCCGUAA
rnacentral:rRNA from 1 species